rnacentral:piRNA from 1 species
UGGAAAGGCCUGUAUGCUUAAUUGGUGU